rnacentral:rRNA from 1 species
AGUGACGAUAGCCUAGGAGAUACACCUGUACCCAUGCCGAACACAGAAGUUAAGCCCUAGAACGCCGGAAGUAGUUGGGGG